rnacentral:rRNA from 1 species
GACGAACGCCGGCGGCGUGCUUAACACAUGCAAGUCGAACGGAAAGGCCCUGCUUUUGUGGGGUGCUCGAGUGGCGAACGGGUGAGUAACACGUGAGUAACCUGCCCUUGACUUUGGGAUAACUUCAGGAAACUGGGGCUAAUACCGGAUAGGAGCUCCUGCUGCAUGGUGGGGGUUGGAAAGUUUCGGCGGUUGGGGAUGGACUCGCGGCUUAUCAGCUUGUUGGUGGGGUAGUGGCUUACCAAGGCUUUGACGGGUAGCCGGCCUGAGAGGGUGACCGGCCACAUUGGGACUGAGAUACGGCCCAGACUCCUACGGGAGGCAGCAGUGGGGAAUAUUGCACAAUGGGCGGAAGCCUGAUGCAGCAACGCCGCGUGCGGGAUGACGGCCUUCGGGUUGUAAACCGCUUUCGCCUGUGACGAAGCGUGAGUGACGGUAAUGGGUAAAGAAGCACCGGCUAACUACGUG